UGCAUCGGCCGGGAAUCGAACCCGGGGCGCCCCGCCACUAUAAUAUAAUAAAAUGAGUUUUAAAAAUUGUAAAAAAAAAAAUGCAUCGGCCAGAAUCCGAACCCGGGGCGCCCGCAUGGCAGGCGAGCAUUCUACCACUGAACCCAAAAGC